UGAGUACGAGCUGCUACGGCAGCGAAGUGGGUGAUGUCAAGCUUCCAAGAAAAGCCCUAUACCCGUUAAGGCAUGAUGGCCUGUACCCGAAACCGACACAGGUGGGGUGGUAGAGAAUACCGAGGGGCGCGAGGUAACGCUCUCUAAGGAACUCGGCAAAAUGGCCCCGUAACUUCGGGAGAAGGGGUGCCACCGCAAGGUGGUCGCAGUGAAGAGGCCCAGGCGACUGUUACCAAAAACACAGGUCUCCGCUAAGUCGCAGGACGAUGUAUGGGGGCUGACGCCUGCCCAGCGCCGGAAGGUUAAGGAAGCUGGUCAGCGCAAGCGAAGCUAGCGACUGAAGCCCCGGUGAACGGCGGCCGUAACUAUAACGGUCCUAAGGUAGCGAAAUUCCUUGUCGGGUAAGUUCCGACCCGCACGAAAGGCGUAACGAUCUGGGCGCUGUCUCGGAGAGAGGCUCGGCGAAAUAGAAUUGUCUGUGAAGAUGCGGACUACGUGCACCCGGACAGAAAGACCCUAUGAAGCUUUACUGUAGCUUGGUAUUGUGCCCGGGCUCUGAAUGCGCAGGAUAGGUGGGAGGCUUUGAUCCAUUGCUUGCGGGUGAUGGUGAGCCAACGGUGAGAUACCACUCUUCCAGAGCUAGGGUUCUAACGGUCACCCGUCAUCCGGGGACCGGACAGUAUCAGGUGGGCAGUUUGACUGGGGCGGUCGCCUCCUAAAAGGUAACGGAGGCGCGCAAAGGUUCCCUCAGGCUGGUUGGAAAUCAGCCGACGAGUGUAAAGGCAGAAGGGAGCUUGACUGUGAGACCUACAAGUCGAACAGGGACGAAAGUCGGCCUUAGUGAUCCGACGGUUCUGAGUGGAAGGGCCGUCGCUCAACGGAUAAAAGUUACUCUAAGGAUAACAGGCUGAUCUCCCCCAAGAGUUCACAUCGACGGGGAGGUUUGGCACCUCGAUGUCGGCUCAUCGCAACCUGGGGCUGAAGUCGGUCCCAAGGGUUGGGCUGUUCGCCCAUUAAAGCGGUACGCGAGCUGGGUUCAGAACGUCGUGAGACAGUUCGGUCCAUAUCCGGUGCAUGCGCAGGAAUAUUGAGAGGAUUUCUCCCUAGUACGAGAGGACCGGGAGGAACGCACCUCUGGUGUGCCAGUUAUCGUGCCAACGGUAAACGCUGGGUAGCCAUGUGCGGAGAGGAUAACCGCUGAAAGCAUCUAAGUGGGAAGCCCACCUCAAGAUGAGUAUUCCCAUGGCGUUAGCCAGUAAGGUCACGGGAAGAACACCCGUUGAUAGGCUCUACGUGGAAGCCGGGCAACCGGUGAAGCGGAGGAGUACUAAUAGACCGAGGGCUUGAC
rnacentral:rRNA from 1 species